GUCGAGAAUAAUUCACAAUGGACGAAAGUCUGAUGGUGCAACGCCGCGUGGAGGAUGACGGUCUUCGGAUUGUAAACUCCUGUCAUCCGGGAGUAAGACCUGGCUGUGAAUAGCAGACAGGGUUGAUAGUACCGGAAGAGGAAGGGACGGCUAACUUCGUGCCAGCAGCCGCGGUAAUACGAAGGUCCCGAGCGUUGUUCGGAAUCACUGGGCGUAAAGGGAGCGUAGGCGGCGUGGUAAGUCAGAUGUGAAAUCCCGGGGCUCAACCCCGGAACUGCAUCCGAUACUGCCGUGCUAGAGGAUUGGAGAGGUAGCUGGAAUUCUUGGUGUAGCAGUGAAAUGCGUGGAGAUCAAGAGGAUCACUCGUGGCGAAAGCGAGCUACUGGACAAUAUCUGACGCUGAGGCUCGAAGGCCAGGGUAGCGAAAGGGAUUAGAUACCCUUGUAGUCC
rnacentral:rRNA from 1 species